rnacentral:lncRNA from 1 species
AUACAUACCUUUUUCCAUAUUUUAGAUUAUUUUUCUGAGACAUAUUUGUCUAUGGCCACAUUGAGGCUUUCCUGUUGAGCCAUGUCAAACAUUUGAAUUUUAUCCUAAAAAUAUUCGGAAGCACAAAGGGAUUUCAAGCAAGGGAAUAGUAGAUUGAGAUUUAUGUUUCAGAAAUAAGACUAUCAUGGCAGUUAGAAGAUUGUAGAGAAAAAAAGAGAAGAGACAGAGAGAUUUAUUGGAAUUUAAAAAAAAAAAAAAAAAAAGCAGUUCGGGGAAUUGAUAACAAAGGCCUGGCCAAAGACGGUGGGAAUAAGAAAAUGGAUCGCAAAGUAUUUGUGACCCAGACUAGACAGGACCUGGUGACUGGCUGGAUGUGGGGUUAAGGAGAGGGUGGCAUUGAGAAGGAUCCUGAGCUUUCCAUCUCAAGACAACGGAGGUGAAGAGUAAAGGAGGAGUAGGUUGGGGAGGAAUCCUAUUUAGGACCUCUUGAGUUGGAAAUGCUUGUAAGACAUCCUGGUGGAGACACCUAAGAAGUAACUGAACAUGUGUUUGGUACUUUGGAGAAAAGCGAAAGCUUGAAAAGAAAAUGUACACUUAGGUUAAUUGUUAAAGUAGUUAUUAAGUGAUUUCAGUGGGUAAGACACCUGUUGCAAACUGUGAGAGACUCAAAUAAACAGAAAUGCAUUCUUCACCGGAUCCCGGAAGCUUAUAAUCAUCCUGCGUCACUAAAGCAAUUACCUUGUUAGGCUGUCAUUUCUCCAUUCACAUGUCUGCUUCUCCAAGCACACCGAGAUCCUCUCUGGGCCUAGGGCCCAGCUCUGUCCUUAUUCUCUUUUUAUCCUUUGUGAUAUGAUAUUCUCUUUCUUUCGCAUGCAAUAAAGGGCACAGUGCAAGGUCAUUAGCCAUUAAUGCUUAUGGAAAAAUGAGUGAGUGAAAGGAAGAGCUUAUGAGGGGGCAACAAAGGGCUAAGAAGUUUAGGUUGUGAAAGAGACCCCAUCUUAUACCAUACACAAAAAUAAAUUCCAGACAAAGUCAAGACUCAGAUGUAAAAACAAACAAAAAAGCUUUGUGGGAGCGCCCACUGUGAUGCAGGUUAAGGAUCCAGCAUUGUCUCUCCAGUGGUUUGGAUUGAUGCUGAGGCGUGGGUUUGAUCUCCUGCCCAGCACAGUGGGUUAAGCAUCCAGUGUUGCCUAGCUGUGGCAUAGGUCACAGCUGUGGCUGGAAUUUAGUCUCUGGCCCGGGAACUUCCUUAUGCCACGGCUCAGUGGGUUAGGAACUCGACAAGUAUCCAUGAGGAUGCAGGUUUGAUCCCUGGCCUUGCUCAGUGGAUUAAGGAUCUGGCAUUGCCCUCAGCUGUGGAGUAGGUCACGGAUAUGGUUCAGAUCUGGUGUGGCUGUGGCUGUGGUGUAGGCCAGCAGCUGUAGCUCUGAUUCGAUCCCCUAGCCUGGGAACCUCCAUAUGCCACAGGUGCAGC